rnacentral:rRNA from 1 species
UGAGUAACACGUAUCCAACCUGCCGUCUACUCUUGGACAGCCUUCUGAAAGGAAGAUUAAUACAAGAUGGCAUCAUGAGUCCGCAUGUUCACAUGAUUAAAGGUAUUCCGGUAGACGAUGGGGAUGCGUUCCAUUAGAUAGUAGGCGGGGUAACGGCCACCUAGUCUACGAUGGAUAGGGGUUCUGAGAGGAAGGUCCCCCACAUUGGAACUGAGACACGGUCCAA